GGGUGAGUGGUCCAAUGGUAAGAUACCGUCGCCUCCCCCGGCGGCCUCACUUUAGAGGCCCCGUUGCAAUGCAAGCCAUCGGGGGCGGCGGUGAUACUGGUUCGAGUCCGGUCUCAUCCA